rnacentral:rRNA from 1 species
UACGGAGGGUGCGAGCGUUGUCCGGAAUCACUGGGCGUAAAGGGCGCGUAGGCGGUGCGAGAAGCGUGUGGUGAAAGGCCGGGGCUCAACCCCGGCUCGGCCGUGCGGACUCUCGCGCUUGGUGAGUGCUGUAGAGGCGGGCGGAAUUCCGGGUGUAGCGGUGGAAUGCGUAGAGAUCCGGAAGAACACCUGUGGCGAAAGCGGCUCACUGGACCACAACUGACGCUGAGGCGCGAAAGCUAGGGGAGCAAACAGG